CUCGAGCCGUAUAGUCUUCUCAACUUUUUCUACUUCACCUACAUGUGGUUUUCCACAAGAUGAGCACAUUGUGUUUGCAAAGGUUACGUUCCGGCCAGAUAGAUUGAGAAAGUGCAGGUUUGAUCGGGAGGUUAGGUAUAUGCAUGUUCAGGUCAAUCGCAUUGCCAACUUCUACCUGUGCAUGUCGCCAGAUGAGCUGUGUGCUAGCUACGUGUUGGAUUGGGUUUGGAAGAAAUCAAGGAGCGAGCCAGCCUGCUGGGCCGCUGCUCAUGGGCGACACUGCAGGUCAGUACAACCAUGUUCUUUCAGUUAAAGCUUUGGAUUUCAUAGCCGCUUCUCUAGAAGCUAAACUGCAGGUAUCCAUCCGAUUGAUCUAUGGCACUGGGAAUUUGAGUUGCGUCCAAUGCAUCUAGGGAUUGGUGGGCAGGGGAGGUUGCGAUGAGCUGCAAGGAGAAGAUGUUCUUGACAAACAUGGCGGCGAGGGCGCCUGAGUUGGACUGGUAGGUGUCGUUGGCCGUUUAGUUUUUAGUUUUCGCAUUACAACCGAGCUUCACUGUGUUCUAUUCUUGAUGAUUUUCCUUACAAAUCAUUGGUAUGCACUAAAACAUUUUUGUUGUAAUUGAUGGUUUGAAAUUUUUACCAGUCUGAUUAUAUGUAGACUAUUUUCUAAAAUGAGUUUGGACAUGGAGUCAAUGAUGAUCUGUAACGCUCUAUGGACUACAUUAUAUUUUUUUCAUGUGCCA